CCUGCUCCUAGAGGCAUCACAGCUGUGACUGUUAUAUCAUGUCACAUGUCAGUAGGUGGCAGAGAAGAGAGAGGCUAUGUCUAUGCUCAAGUGUGCUCUGACCUGUGAAUAUCUGAUUGAUUAGCAGCCUAACGUU